rnacentral:rRNA from 1 species
UACGUAGGGUGCAAGCGUUGUCCGGAAUUAUUGGGCGUAAAGAGCUUGUAGGCGGUUUGUCGCGUCUGCUGUGAAAUUUCGGGGCUCAACCCCGACUUGCAGUGGGUACGGGCAGACUAGAGUGUGGUAGGGGAGACUGGAAUUCCUGGUGUAGCGGUGAAAUGCGCAGAUAUCAGGAGGAACACCGAUGGCGAAGGCAGGUCUCUGGGCCACUACUGACGCUGAGGAGCGAAAGCGUGGGGAGCAAACAGG